GGCGGCUCAGUGGUAGGGUGCUUGCCUUGCAUGCAGGAGGCCCUGGGUUCGAUUCCUCAGCACCA
rnacentral:tRNA from 1 species